rnacentral:rRNA from 1 species
GAUGAACGCUGGCGGCGUGCCUAAUACAUGCAAGUCGAGCGAACAGAUAAGGAGCUUGCUCCUUUGACGUUAGCGGCGGACGGGUGAGUAACACGUGGGUAACCUACCUAUAAGACUGGGAUCACUUCGGGAAACCGGAGCUAAUACCGGAUAAUAUUUCGAACCGCAGGGUUCGAUAGUGAAAGAUGGUUUUGCUAUCACUUAGAGGUGGACCCGCGCCGGAUUAGCUAGUUGGUAAGGUAACGGCUUACCAAGGCGACGAUCCGUAGCCGACCUGAGAGGGUGAUCGGCCACACUGGAACUGAGACACGGUCCAGACUCCUACGGGAGGCAGCAGUAGGGAAUCUUCCGCAAUGGGCGAAAGCCUGACGGAGCAAUGCCGCGUGAGUGAUGAAGGUCUUCGGAUCGUAAAGCUCUGUUAGUAGGGAGGAACAUAAGUGUAAUUAACUGUGCCCGUCUUGACGUUACCUACUCAGAAAGCCCCGGCUAACUACGUG